rnacentral:rRNA from 1 species
AUUAGAGUUUGAUCCUGGCUCAGAAGUGAACGCUGGCGGCAGGCCUAACACAUGCAAGUCGAGCGGCAGCGGGUCCUUCGGGAUGCCGGCGAGCGGCGGACGGGUGAGGAAUGCGUCGGAAUCUGCCUUUUUGUGGGGGAUAACGUAGGGAAACUUACGCUAAUACCGCAUACGACCUACGGGGUGAAAGUGGGGGACCGCAAGGCCUCACGCAGAAAGAUGAGCCGACGCCGGAUUAGCUAGUUGGCGGGGUAAAGGCCCACCAAGGCGACGAUCCGUAGCUGGUCUGAGAGGAUGAUCAGCCACACUGGAACUGAGACACGGUCCAGACUCCUACGGGAGGCAGCAGUGGGGAAUAUUGGACAAUGGGCGCAAGCCUGAUCCAGCCAUGCCGCGUGUGUGAAGAAGGCCUUCGGGUUGUAAAACUUAGUCCGGAAAGAAAACCUACCGAUUAAUACCCGGUGGGAAUG